UAAAAGGGCUUCUUCCUUCAAUGGAACAGUAUGGUGCUUGGCACAGUGUUACUGCGGAAUCGCAAUCAAAAGAUUUCGGAAGCACAAUUUUUGUUAUCCGGAGCUGCUGUUGACAUACGGUCACGGCGCUCCA